GAUGAACGCUAGCGGCGCGCUUGAUCCAUGCAAGUCGAACGAACCUACGUUCUUCGGAGUGUAGGUUAGUGGCGAACGGGUGAGUAACACGUUGGUGACCUGCCCCUGAGUGGGGGAUAACUAUUCGAAAGGAUAGCUAAUCCCGCAUGUACUCCGGCAUUCAUUUGCUGGAGUAAAGGCUUCGGCCGCUCGGGGAGGGGCCUGCGUUGGAUUAGCUAGUUGGUGGGGUAAUGGCCUACCAAGGCGAUGAUCCAUAGGGGGCGUGAGAGCGUGGCCCCCCACACUGGCACUGAGACACGGGCCAGACUCCUACGGGAGGCAGCAGGAAGGAAUCUUGCGCAAUGGGCAAAGCCAGACGCAGCGACGCCGCGUGGGUGAUGAAGGCCUUCGGGUUGUAAAGCCUUUUCCGAGGGAAGAGAAGGGACGGUACCUCGGGAAUAAGCCUCGGCUAACUACGUG
rnacentral:rRNA from 1 species